UGUGGCUUAGUGGUAAAGUGCAUGCCUAGCAUGCAUGAAGACCUGGGUUUGAUUCCUCAGUA
rnacentral:tRNA from 1 species